rnacentral:ncRNA from 1 species
AUGGGGAGUUCUUAGACCCCAUGGAUGUCGUGUUAAUAGCCGUGCUUUUGGCCGAGUGCGGUGGUUAGUGAAUC